rnacentral:rRNA from 1 species
GACGAACGCUGGCGGCGUGCCUAAUACAUGCAAGUAGGACGCAGUUGCGAACGGGUGAGUAACGCGUAGGUAACUACCUAUUAGAGGGGGAUAACUAUUGGAAACGAUAGCUAAUACCGCAUACUCGUAGAUGGACCUGCGUUGGAUUAGGUAGUAGGUGGGGUAAUGGCCUACCUAGGCAACGAAACAUAGCCGACCUGGGAGGGGGAUCGGCCAAACGGGGACUGGGACACGGCCCAGAAUCCUUCGGGAGGGAGCAGUAGGGAAUCUUCGGGAAUGGGGGGAACCCUGACCGAGCAACGCCGCGUGAGUGAAGAAGGUUUUCGGAUCGUAAAGCUCUGUUGGUAAGGAAGCGGUACUUAACCAGAAAGGGACGGCUAACUACGUGCCAGCAGCCGCGGUAAUUC